rnacentral:misc_RNA from 1 species
UCGCCAUUGUUGAGAAUCUUACCUCGACCAUCUCCCCAUGUGAUGUCAAAAUCUCGGUAGAAAUUACCAGAGGCAAUGGCUGCCAUGGAAGAGAAGAUGCAAAGGAGCAAGGGCAACAUUGCACAAAAGGGUAAUGAAUUGUGUGAAGCCAUAAUAUAUUUCCCGAAUAAUGAGAUGUAUAUAGAAAGAAACAAGUAGUAAUUAAGAGAAG